ACUGACUGCAGUGGAGCAGUGUUCUGUCUCCCGGAUCCGUAUGGAUGUUCGUGUGCUGCAGGAUGGACUGGGUUACAAUGUGACCAAGCAUGUCCUGCUGGUUCGUAUGGUGCGGGAUGCACAGAGACAUGUCACUGCGACUCUGCAGGAUCAUGUGACUCUGUUACUGGGGCCUGUUCUAAUGGGUGCGAAGAUGGUUGGAUUGGAGAUCAAUGCCAAGUGACUAUUUUGGACAUCACAUC